GGAGGAUGCAAGCGUUAAUCGGAAUUACUGGGCGUAAAGCGCACGCAGGCGGUUGGAUAAGUUAGAUGUGAAAGCCCCGGGCUCAACCUGGGAAUUGCAUUUAAAACUGUCCAGCUAGAGUCUUGUAGAGGGGGGUAGAAUUCCAGGUGUAGCGGUGAAAUGCGUAGAGAUCUGGAGGAAUACCGGUGGCGAAGGCGGCCCCCUGGACAAAGACUGACGCUCAGGUGCGAAAGCGUGGGGAGCAAACAGGAUUAGAUACCCUGGUAGUCCACGCCGUAAACGAUGUCGAUUUGGAGGCUGUGUCCUUGAGACGUGGCUUCCGGAGCUAACGCGUUAAAUCGACCGCCUGGGGAGUACGGCCGCAAGGUUA
rnacentral:rRNA from 1 species